GACGAACGCUGGCGGCGUGCCUAAUACAUGCAAGUAGAACGCUGAAGGAGGAGCUUGCUUCUCCGGAUGAGUUGCGAACGGGUGAGUAACGCGUAGGUAACCUGCCUGGUAGCGGGGGAUAACUAUUGGAAACGAUAGCUAAUACCGCAUAACAGUAGAUAUUGCAUGAUAUCUGCUUGAAAGGUGCAAUUGCAUCACUACCAGAUGGACCUGCGUUGUAUUAGCUAGUUGGUGGGGUAACGGCUCACCAAGGCGACGAUACAUAGCCGACCUGAGAGGGUGAUCGGCCACACUGGGACUGAGACACGGCCCAGACUCCUACGGGAGGCAGCAGUAGGGAAUCUUCGGCAAUGGACGGAAGUCUGACCGAGCAACGCCGCGUGAGUGAAGAAGGUUUUCGGAUCGUAAAGCUCUGUUGUAAGAGAAGAACGAGUGUGAGAGUGGAAAGUUCACACUGUGACGGUAUCUUACCAGAAAGGGACGGCUAACUACGUGCCAGCAGCCGCGGUAAUACGUAGGUCCCGAGCGUUGUCCGGAUUUAUUGGGCGUAAAGCGAGCGCAGGCGGUUAGAUAAGUCUGAAGUUAAAGGCUGUGGCUUAACCAUAGUACGCUUUGGAAACUGUUUAACUUGAGUGCAAGAGGGGAGAGUGGAAUUCCAUGUGUAGCGGUGAAAUGCGUAGAUAUAUGGAGGAACACCGGUGGCGAAAGCGGCUCUCUGGCUUGUAACUGACGCUGAGGCUCGAAAGCGUGGGUAGCAAACAGG
rnacentral:rRNA from 1 species